UGGCUCCAGCAGCGGGGUCCCGGUGGCGUGGGCACGGUGGCAGCUCUGCUGUGCUGCCCGCGGCGGCCCGAGAGCGGCCGCUCCGUUCGGGGCUAUCGCAGGGGGCCUGGGCUGUGAGCCCAGCCUUUAGCAUGAACCGCACUAGGAGCUGCCACUACCGAAACCUGAAAUGAAAUUUAGACCGCGAGUUGGGUGUGAGGUCAAUAGUGUCGCCACUUAGCCGGAUCGCUGUUACGCAGCGAGGGCAAGCUGAAUUUAUUUAGCUGUCAGACCAGAGGAGAGAAGGCUUUUGACUGCAGUUUCUCUUGCUCUCCUGUCCUCCUUGGGAUGUUUUCAGCCCUGAAUGAGAACAGAAACUUCAGAUCACUGCUUUGCCUUCGCUCAUAUCACUUCACAGGAGACCAGAUGUUCCUCAUUUCAAACUUUUUUGCUUCACUCCUUAUUUGUUCUGAGAAGCUAUGAAUGUUGAAGCUAUGGAAGUUGAUAUUCUAUCAAGAAUAUAAAUUUAAAGUAAUGGAAUUAAAGCCUAAGUAAUAUGCCAGUUUUCAUGGAAGUUCAUGAAGGAAUGUCUCCCAUGGGAUGGACCCCCACACUGGAGCAGGGAAGGAGUGUGAGGAAUUCCACACGAAGGAGGAAGGAGCAGCAGAGACAACCUGUGGAACCUGGAGCCUCUGAUGGAAGUAGGAACUGGGGCUGGAGCAGUCACCUUAUCACUUGGGAUUCUUAGGAGCCAAGAAAAAAUAACCACAGAAAUCCAGUUGAAGGAGAGCUUCAAACAGGCUGCCACAAGAAAGAUAUAAGCUGAAGAGAGAAACCUCCACCUCUCUGGGUGGCCCUUUUGCAAUGCCACCCCACUUCCAGCUGUAGUUCUUUCCUGACCCUAACUCUUUUCCUUAGUUGAGUCUCCUUCUUGGCUGAACCCUAGCUCAACACUCAGUGCCUCAGCAGGGAUGAGAACAUUUGGAGGGAAUAAUUCUUUUGACAGCCUUGUUUUUCAGCCCCUUUGCAGCCUUUGUCUAAUCUCACUGCUGCAGAUUUUGUCCCAUUCCCAACCAAUACCCUAACCCUUAAUACUGGUCCUGGCUUAGCUGAGCCUUUGUUUGAGACCCAGUGUCCUGGCCCAGAUGAACAUGUUCUUGGGGACAAUUAUUUUCACAGCUUUGCCCUCACUUUUUCAGCCUGUUUGUAGCCACAGUCCAAUGUGAGGUCAAGAUUUUCUCUUUAGCGUAAUUCUAAGAGAAUCGUGAUGCAAAUCCUAGGCACAUCCAUGGUCCCAGACAAGACCAAGAUGAGAAAUUUUUCAGGGAAUUUACUAAUUCUUCUGCCACCCCAUCCCUGCUCUCCACCACCUUUGUUCUAGCUUUGCCUUUGUAGCCCUAUUGCAACCAUUCUCUCUUUCUUAGACCUAACCCCUACCCAUUGCUGGUGAUGCUAUCAGCUUUCUCACAGGUUAAAAGCUUUCCACAUUCAGACCUUUGUACCACUGUUCCCACAGACUCGACUAUUUCCAUAUGAGAAUUGCUGCAUCUGCCCAUCCUUCUUGGUUUGCUGGAGAUUUUCCAGAGCUCUCAAGACUGUGCCUCCAGGGUUUCCCUUCCUCUCUUUCUUUGUUCUUAUGUACAGAGACACUAUCUCACCUCAUGGGUGCUAAUAUUUGGGGACCAUUCUGUCCAUCCAGUCUCAGCUUUUUCAAAUGUAGGAUCCUUUUCUUGUCAAUGAAACUUCAAGUUUUCUUUUUUGUCUUAACUCUGAGCAUAACCCUAAGAACAGAAGAAGUUUAUAGGCAAAGAAAUUCAACCCUUGUCCAGAAAAAAUUUUCUCAGUAUGGAGGUCUUUUUGUAGAUCAUGCUUUUUUUUCUCAGCCCCUUGAAUGUGGAACUUGGUAUGUUGUAUUUUUUUAAAAUGUGUACUAACUUGUUAAUCUACCCUACCAGUUAGCUGGUGUGUGUACUCUUUCCCAGAAUGCAGUGUCUCCUGCUAUGGAUUUUACAUGUAUUCAUAAUUUCUUUCUCCAGCCUUGUCACAGACCAUCAUAUUAUAUUAUUUUUUGGAGUUUUUUAAGUUCUUUGAAGCUGUUACUUCCAUUUUAAAUGUUACUUCUGUUGCACUAUGACAAUAUUGUAUGCUGUUAAUAAAACUGACUGAUAAAGGAACAUUUGAGAGCGAAACAUAGAUUUCUGUUUAGGUUUAGUGUGUUUGCUCUUCAGGCAAAAUGGUCUUUGAAUUCCACAAUGGGCUGCAUUCUAUAAGAAAAGCAGUAAUUCACAUGGGAGUUUUGGGAGCCCUUGACAGCUCCAGCCAGGUCCUUAAAUCAUUCAGUUCUGAGGCCAUCAUGUUGCAGCACUUGGUUAUAUGGACCACCUUUGAGUUGAGUCAAGUGAUACUUCUUUUUGAAUAAUUUUAACACUACUUGCUGCAUUGAUAUAUGGAUAGAGAAGUAUGCAAAACAAGUUUUCUUACAAUAAAAAGACAGUUCUUGCUAGAUUUAUCAUCUGUUUAUGAGUAGUUUUCUACUGCUGCAAAUAGCACUUUUCAUUUAACUCUUGGUGAGUUACAUGCACAUCCGUAGGAAAGUCCAGUCUUGAGGGCCUGUCACUACAGAACCACAUUAAGUAUCCAUGAAUUUGAACCUAUGAUAUUUUAAAUUUGACUUGUGGAGGAGCUUUUGAUAGAGUAAAUAACCACACAAAUAUUUUUUUCUCUUCUGAAUUGCAUAGAAAUAAUGGCAUAUAACUCUGUCUUCCCUGGUUAGGCUCUUAUGGGUAGUAUUUGAAUUUUCUUUUGCUACAUAAUGAACUAGAAUAUAAUAUUUUCUUUAAAUUGCUUGAAUACUUUCAAGCUUGUAAGAGAAUUAUGGACUGUGACUGUUGGCAGUGAUAGAUGGCAUAAUCAAGAAUUUUUCCUUUUAACUAUUAGUUAAAGUCAUUGGCAGGAAUAAAAUUCUGUAAAGACUACUGAAAGGAGGGUAUUGUUUUGUUUAAGUUUUAUCUUCUUUUGUUCAAAACUCUUAAGAGAAUAUUGGUAAUUAAAAUAUAAAAAAAAAAUUCACCUUUUCCUGCCACUCUUCCUUAUCUCUUCAGAUUCCUUCAAAAUACAAUCUUCCUGUCUGAAAGUGCAGUAUUCUGCUUCCAUAGUCAUAAGGAAGCCAGCAUUUCAACAAUUGUGAGGUGUCUUGUUAAUCAGGUGUCAUUUCACCCAUGCCUAUGCUUACAUAACUUGUUCAGAUGCCUGCGUAUUUUCAUGCAUGUGAUUCCCCCCAGGUGGUAUAAGCUUCCUGGCAGAGGUGAUUAUUUUGAGCAAGAAGGGUUUUUUUCCGAAUUAUGUAGAUUCUUGCAAGCCCUAUACACUGUUCAAUUUCUCAGCUAUGAUGAGACAGUCUUCAUAUUUCUUUAUGGAAAGAUGCAGGAAAAUAUGGGAAAAUAUUUUAGUGAUUAUCUGAAGAAAGCUAGCUUACGGAAUACAAGACAAGCCUGGAGUUUUGUUACUGGAAAUUGGGAAUGCUGUUUUUCCCUUCAUAUUACAUCUUGAAAUCAUCUUUGCUAACAAUUCUCUACUGAAAAUAAAACCUAACAGCAGAAGGCACAUAUGUCUGUGCCCUUUAUUGUCUCAAAAAUUAUUUAUAAGAUGGAUAGAGCUGUUGAGAAAGAGACAGUCUGAAGCUUUCAUCAAGAGAAUAUUUGCUUUGAUACUUUCAGUAUUAGUUGUGACUUCAUCAGAAAAUAGAAAUAACUCACAGAAAACUUGCUGUGUAUUGAGUCAUUGUUCAGGGCAGCGAAUUACAGCUGUAUAUUAUUUUCUGUUGUAAAAUAUUUCAACAUUGUAAUGAAAGUUCCAUAUCAUCAUGGUAUCCUCAUUCACUUGAUAUCAAGGAUUUACACUGUGAAUUUCAUGCAGUGCCUGGAGAUGGAAACUUAGACUGCUUUUGAUUAGCAAUUGUUUCACUCAGAAAAGAUUGCUUCUUUAUUUAAACUUAUUGGAGAAUAUUAAUGAAAUGCUUUUUUACACUCUUUGCUAUUAUAAUUUUAAGUAAACUGGCAAAAGAGGAUUUAACCUUCACUACAUUUGAUUUUGAUCCUCAACUUUUCCCAAAGAUCAGUACAACUUCAUACGUUUGAACUAUCUAUAUUCUGUCCCUUCUGGUAAUAUAAAGUUAUUAGUUAUAAAAAUUGAUGUAGAUCCCUGAUUUCUAUGAGAAUAUGGAAAACUAUAAUUGCACUAAUUAUGCUCAUAUAGCAGUGUGUACUGUGCUAUUCAUUCCUCAUGGUCUGAAAUAUUAAUUAGAUCAUAUUUGUAGAAGAUUAUAUGUAUGAUGACUCCAAUUUCUUAAAAAUCUUUAGAAAAUAGGUCAUAGAAUCACAGACUAUCACAGCUGAAAAGCACCCAUUAGAAUAAUCAAAGUCCACCUCCUCAUUGCGCACAGAGCCAUCCCCAAAAGUCACACCAUGCCUGAGAGCAUUGUCCAAACACUUUUUGAACUCUGUCAGGCUGGUGCUGUGACCAUUUUCCUGGGGAGCCUGUUCCCAACCACCCUCUGGGGAAAGAACUUUUUUCUGAUGUCCGACCUAAACCUCCCCUGAUACAACUCCAGGCCAUACCCUUGGGUCCUGUCACUGGUUACCACAGAGAGGAGAUCAGUGUCUGCCCCUUCUUUUCCCCUUAUGUGGAAGUUGUAGAGUGCAAUGACAUCUCCCUUCAGUCUUCACUUCUCCUGGCAGAACAGACCAAGUGACCUCAGCUGCUCCUCAUAUGGCUUCCCCUCAAGGCCCUUCACAAGCUCUGCAGCCCCAGUACAAUUGGUUUUGUAGCCAUAUCACAUUGCCAAACCCUGUCUCAUUCACUUUCGGAUUUUGCCCUUCUAUAUCAUUGAUCUUAGCUACACUUCUCCACCAGACUGAGUAUUUCUGUUUUUAAUUGGAUUUCCUCAGGUUUAUUAGGUUGACCUUUUUUUUUUUUUUUUUUUUUGGAAGAAGAAACUUGUUUUGAUCCAUUUCAUUUUGUCCCAGAUUUCUAAUCUUUCCAGAUCUCUUUGUAUCAUAUCAUGUAACUCAUUGCUUUUUACAUCUCCCUUCGACAGGACUGUUUCCAAAUGACUGUCUUGUUCUCUCUAGCUAUUCAUCAUCCCUGAAGAGCUGAGCAGAACCAGCACUAACUGAUGUCCAAAACCAAUCAGCAGGCCACUACCUUGCACUCCAGCUUAGCACUUAAUUAGUUAACCCACAUAAAACCCAGUUUGAAUGAUUCCUCAAAGCAAUCUUUUUUCCCAUAUUCUAUCUUCAUUUUUAGUCUAUGACCACAAGUGAUGAUGAAAUUGCUGGUACUAAAUUUUUGUGUGUUUUGUGUCUGGAAUAUCCAUAAUAUGUUUCUAGUUAUUAAUGGAUUAUUAAAAUAUAAAUGGGGAGGAAAUAUUCUGAUUUGCAUAAUAGCAUGCAUGACUGCUUGUUGAAUUUUGCAUAUCUGUAAAUGUUAAUAAUUUUUAUUUAUUUAUUAUUAAAAGAAUAAUUUUUUUCCUGACUUUUAAGUGAGACAAAGCUUGAAUUCCAAAUGAUUCUUAUGCUCUUGAGCUGAAACACGUACAAUAUAAAGAACUUAUUAGAGAGAAGAAAAAUGUGUAAGAUUUGUUUGAUUGAAUAAUUAAUUUUUUAAUCUGUUUUAUAUUAAUUGCUUAUGUAAUUUUAA